AAAGUACUCCCUCUGUCCCAAAAUUCUUGUCUUAGAUUUGUCUAGAUACGGAUGUAUCAAGUCACAUUUUAGUAUUAGAUAUAUUCGUAUCUAGACAAAUCUAAGACAAGAAAUUUGGGACAGAGGGAGUAGUUG
rnacentral:pre_miRNA from 1 species